CCUACGGGGGGCUGCAGUGGGGAAUAUUGGACAAUGGGCGAAAGCCUGAUCCAGCCAUGCCGCGUGUGUGAAGAAGGCCUUCGGGUUGUAAAGCACUUUCAGUGGGGAAGAAAGCCUUGGGGCUAAUACCCUCGAGGAAGGACAUCACCCACAGAAGAAGCACCGGCUAACUCCGUGCCAGCAGCCGCGGUAAUACGGAGGGUGCGAGCGUUAAUCGGAAUUACUGGGCGUAAAGCGCGCGUAGGAGGUCUGAUAAGCCGGUUGUGAAAGCCCCGGGCUCAACCUGGGAACGGCAUCCGGAACUGUCAGGCUAGAGUGCAGGAGAGGAAGGUAGAAUUCCCGGUGUAGCGGUGAAAUGCGUAGAGAUCGGGAGGAAUACCAGUGGCGAAGGCGGCCUUCUGGACUGACACUGACGCUGAGGUGCGAAAGCGUGGGUAGCAAACAGGAUUAGAUACCCUGGUAGUC
rnacentral:rRNA from 1 species